AGGGAUAUUGGGCAAUGGAGGAAACUCUGACCCAGCAAUGCCGCGUGAGUGAAGAAGUACUUCGGUAUGUAAAGCUCUGUUGUAUAGGAGGAAAGAACUAGUAGGAAAUGGCUAGGAGAUGACUGUACUAUACGAGAAAGUCACGGCUAACUACGUGCCAGCAGCCGCGGUAAUACGUAGGUGGCAAGCGUUAUCCGGAAUUAUUGGGCGUAAAGGGUGCGUAGGUGGCAUGUUAAGUCUGGUGUAAAAGGCAAUAGCUCAACUAUUGUAUGCAUUGGAAACUGGCAAGCUAGAGUGUGUGAGGGGUAAGUGGAAUUCCAAGUGUAGCGGUGGAAUGCGUAGAUAUUUGGAGGAACACCAGUGGCGAAGGCGGCUUACUGGCACACAACUGACACUGAGGCACGACAGCGUGGGGAGCAAAU
rnacentral:rRNA from 1 species